rnacentral:rRNA from 1 species
GAUGAACGCUGGCGGCGUGCUUAACACAUGCAAAUCGAACGAUGAAGCCCAGCUUGCUGGGUGGAUUAGUGGCGAACGGGUGAGUAACACGUGAGUAACCUGCCCUUAACUCUGGGAUAAGCCUGGGAAACUGGGUCUAAUACCGGAUAGGAGCGUCCACCGCAUGGUGGGUGUUGGAAAGAUUUAUCGGUUUUGGAUGGACUCGCGGCCUAUCAGCUUGUUGGUGAGGUAAUGGCUCACCAAGGCGACGACGGGUAGCCGGCCUGAGAGGGUGACCGGCCACACUGGGACUGAGACACGGCCCAGACUCCUACGGGAGGCAGCAGUGGGGAAUAUUGCACAAUGGGCGAAAGCCUGAUGCAGCGACGCCGCGUGAGGGAUGACGGCCUUCGGGUUGUAAACCUCUUUCAGUAGGGAAGAAGCGAAAGUGACGGUACCUGCAGAAGAAGCACCGGCUAACUACGUG